CAGAGCAGCUGCUGAGAACAAAUCUCUCAAUCGGACAAGCCUGGGGCCUGGCUGACUACCUCAACCCUUCCCAUCACUUAAACCCUCUGUCCUGUAGAUGUAGUUACAUUGAGGAGGGGCCUGGAUUCUUUUCCAUCUACUUGAGAUCAACAGGUUAACAGAAAUGAGAUGCAUGGCUCCUGUCUCUGGUUCCUAUCACUAUCACCACAGUGAGACCUCCAUUUCUUCCUACUUCGCCCCCAAGCAUCUCCAUCAUUCCUCUUCUGCAGGAUCUGGAUCUUCCUCACCAUCCACAAGACGGGCACCACGUCACUCCCAUCGUUCCCUGCACUCAGCGACUGUUCACAAGACAGAAAACUCUUUGCAGAUAGCUCCUAACUCAGAAAGCUAGAAGAAUGAGGAAAAUUUGGAAGUCUGUCUCUAAAACAGCCCUGACUCACAUGACAAUUGUGGUUACCCAUCACCAUCACCCUCAGUUCUCCCAUGUCCUAGGAGGGGGUGUGUUGGUACAGUGGCUAAGACCCAGCUUUGCAGGCAAUGGCGGACCAAGCUUCCGCAAAUAUGUUUGGGGAGAUUUCUGAAGACAAGCCUGGCAUGCUGCAGUCCAUGUCGCAAAGAGUCGGACACAACUGAGCAACUGAACUGAACUGACUGAAGACAAGCCUCUACCUUGAAGUGAUCGACAUUUUUUUGAACGUUCUGGAUGUGCCCUGCAUAAAUUUGCACACUGUACCGGGUCCCACUCCAAAUUCCAUGUCUUAAGUGUUGAAGCUUCCUGAAAGACUCCAUUUGGAAGUAACCACUGGUUACAAAAGGAAAGUCAAGAAAGGAUAAUACUGCGACUACACUUACCUUUCUUGGUUUCUAAAGUACUUAUCUUCUGGUAUACUGUAAAAGCUCUUUAUUUAUUACAUUUAUUGUUUGUCACUUAUCUCUUGCUGUGGAAUGUAAACUUCCAAAGGGUAGGAAUCUUUGUUUUCUCUACUGACAAAUCCCACAUGCCUGUAAAAGUUCUGACAUAUAGCUGACUGUCAAAAACUAUUUGUUGAAUUAAAUGGAAGUUGAAACUGGGACACAA